UACGUAGGGGGCAAGCGUUGUUCGGAAUCACUGGGCGUAAAGCGCACGUAGGCGGAUUUGCCAGUCAGGGGUGAAAUCCCGGGGCUCAACCUCGGAACUGCCUUUGAUACAGCAAGUCUUGAGUUCGAGAGAGGUGGGUGGAAUUCCUAGUGUAGAGGUGAAAUUCGUAGAUAUUAGGAAGAACACCGGUGGCGAAGGCGGCCCACUGGCUCGACACUGACGCUGAGGUGCGAAAGCGUGGGUAGCAAACAGG
rnacentral:rRNA from 1 species